rnacentral:rRNA from 2 species
CGAGGGGAGUGAAAAAGAACCUGAAACCGUGUACGUACAAGCAGUGGGAGCACGCUUAGGCGUGUGACUGCGUACCUUUUGUAUAAUGGGUCAGCGACUUAUAUUCUGUAGCAAGGUUAACCGAAUAGGGGAGCCGAAGGGAAACCGAGUCUUAACUGGGCGUUAAGUUGCAGGGUAUAGACCCGAAACCCGGUGAUCUAGCCAUGGGCAGGUUGAAGGUUGGGUAACACUAACUGGAGGACCGAACCGACUAAUGUUGAAAAAUUAGCGGAUGACUUGUGGCUGGGGGUGAAAGGCCAAUCAAACCGGGAGAUAGCUGGUUCUCCCCGAAAGCUAUUUAGGUAGCGCCUCGUGAAUUCAUCUCCGGGGGUAGAGCACUGUUUCGGCAAGGGGGUCAUCCCGACUUACCAACCCGAUGCAAACUGCGAAUACCGGAGAAUGUUAUCACGGGAGACACACGGCGGGUGCUAACGUCCGUCGUGAAGAGGGAAACAACCCAGACCGCCAGCUAAGGUCCCAAAGUCAUGGUUAAGUGGGAAACGAUGUGGGAAGGCCCAGACAGCCAGGAUGUUGGCUUAGAAGCAGCCAUCAUUUAAAGAAAGCGUAAUAGCUCACUGGUCGAGUCGGCCUGCGCGGAAGAUGUAACGGGGCUAAACCAUGCACCGAAGCUGCGGCAGCGACGCUUAUGCGUUGUUGGGUAGGGGAGCGUUCUGUAAGCCUGUGAAGGUGUGCUGUGAGGCAUGCUGGAGGUAUCAGAAGUGCGAAUGCUGACAUAAGUAACGAUAAAGCGGGUGAAAAGCCCGCUCGCCGGAAGACCAAGGGUUCCUGUCCAACGUUAAUCGGGGCAGGGUGAGUCGACCCCUAAGGCGAGGCCGAAAGGCGUAGUCGAUGGGAAACAGGUUAAUAUUCCUGUACUUGGUGUUACUGCGAAGGGGGGACGGAGAAGGCUAUGUUGGCCGGGCGACGGUUGUCCCGGUUUAAGCGUGUAGGCUGGUUUUCCAGGCAAAUCCGGAAAAUCAAGGCUGAGGCGUGAUGACGAGGCACUACGGUGCUGAAGCAACAAAUGCCCUGCUUCCAGGAAAAGCCUCUAAGCAUCAGGUAACAUCAAAUCGUACCCCAAACCGACACAGGUGGUCAGGUAGAGAAUACCAAGGCGCUUGAGAGAACUCGGGUGAAGGAACUAGGCAAAAUGGUGCCGUAACUUCGGGAGAAGGCACGCUGAUAUGUAGGUGAAGUCCCUCGCGGAUGGAGCUGAAAUCAGUCGAAGAUACCAGCUGGCUGCAACUGUUUAUUAAAAACACAGCACUGUGCAAACACGAAAGUGGACGUAUACGGUGUGACGCCUGCCCGGUGCCGGAAGGUUAAUUGAUGGGGUCAGCGCAAGCGAAGCUCUUGAUCGAAGCCCCGGUAAACGGCGGCCGUAACUAUAACGGUCCUAAGGUAGCGAAAUUCCUUGUCGGGUAAGUUCCGACCUGCACGAAUGGCGUAAUGAUGGCCAGGCUGUCUCCACCCGAGACUCAGUGAAAUUGAACUCGCUGUGAAGAUGCAGUGUACCCGCGGCAAGACGGAAAGACCCCGUGAACCUUUACUAUAGCUUGACACUGAACAUUGAGCCUUGAUGUGUAGGAUAGGUGGGAGGCUUAGAAGUGUGGACGCCAGUCUGCAUGGAGCCGACCUUGAAAUACCACCCUUUAAUGUUUGAUGUUCUAACGUUGACCCGUAAUCCGGGUUGCGGACAGUGUCUGGUGGGUAGUUUGACUGGGGCGGUCUCCUCCUAAAGAGUAACGGAGGAGCACGAAGGUUGGCUAAUCCUGGUCGGACAUCAGGAGGUUAGUGCAAUGGCAUAAGCCAGCUUGACUGCGAGCGUGACGGCGCGAGCAGGUGCGAAAGCAGGUCAUAGUGAUCCGGUGGUUCUGAAUGGAAGGGCCAUCGCUCAACGGAUAAAAGGUACUCCGGGGAUAACAGGCUGAUACCGCCCAAGAGUUCAUAUCGACGGCGGUGUUUGGCACCUCGAUGUCGGCUCAUCACAUCCUGGGGCUGAAGUAGGUCCCAAGGGUAUGGCUGUUCGCCAUUUAAAGUGGUACGCGAGCUGGGUUUAGAACGUCGUGAGACAGUUCGGUCCCUAUCUGCCGUGGGCGCUGGAGAACUGAGGGGGGCUGCUCCUAGUACGAGAGGACCGGAGUGGACGCAUCACUGGUGUUCGGGUUGUCAUGCCAAUGGCACUGCCCGGUAGCUAAAUGCGGAAGAGAUAAGUGCUGAAAGCAUCUAAGCACGAAACUUGCC